AGUGAACGCUGGCGGUAGGCCUAACACAUGCAAGUCGAACGGCAGCACAGUAAGAGCUUGCUCUUACGGGUGGCGAGUGGCGGGCGGGUGAGGAAUACAUCGGAAUCUACUUUUUCGUGGGGGAUAACGUAGGGGAACUUACGCUAAUACCGCAUACGACCUACGGGUGAGAGCAUGGGAACUUCGGACCUUGCGCGAUUGAAUGAGCCGAUGUCGGAUUAGCUAGUUGGCGGGGUAAAGGCCCACCAAGGCGACGAUCCGUAGCUGGUCUGAGAGGAUGAUCAGCCACACUGGAACUGAGACACGGUCCAGACUCCUACGGGAGGCAGCAGUGGGGAAUAUUGGACAAUGGGCGCAAGCCUGAUCCAGCCAUCCCGCGUGUGUGAAGAAGGCCUUCGGGUUGUAAAGCCCUUUUGUUGGGAAAGAAAAGCAGCAGGUUAAUACCCCGCUGUUCUGACGGUACCCAAAGAAUAAGCACCGGCUAACUUCGUG
rnacentral:rRNA from 1 species